GCAGUUUUCUAUCUUUAUUUCUGUUGUGGAAACAUCGUGCGCAGCCAAGAAACAACAAAAUAAUUUAACUGAAACUUUAUCAUUACAAUUGACAAAAUCUCACCAAAUAUAAAGUUGUUUCUUGGGUGCGCACAUACUUUUCCAAUCGAAAAUACACUUAACAAUUUGAUGAAAAACAAGGAAAAUCACAAAAUUUUACAAAAUAUGCAAAUUAAGGCAUGAUUUGUUGCCAUGGUAACUUGUUUAAUGUCCAAAAUUAUUUUGUUUUUCUGAAUACCUUCUACCUGAGAUACUUUUCAGUAAUUUUAAAAUAUGUAUGAUAACUUUUAAAUUUGCAGUAAUUUUUGGGCCAAAUAAGGGCCUUAUUGCCCCUACUCCUUUACAAA
rnacentral:lncRNA from 1 species